AGCAAACGCUAGGGGUCCUGCGCAUCGAAACGCUGCGCGGGUGAGAAAUACCCUCCGAACCUGAUCUGGAUAAUGCCAGCGAAGGGAAGCUUUCGAGACAUGGA
rnacentral:ncRNA from 2 species